rnacentral:lncRNA from 1 species
AGGGGAUCGACUCAUGGGGUUGACUUCUGUGGCACAGAACAGAAAACUAUUAUUCUGUAUCUUUGGCCUGCAUAGCAACAGAGAUCGACUCAUAGGAUCGACCCAUUUGGAUGUGCCAGCCAAAAAUAGCUUGCUGUUUAUUCCCUUUUGACAAGAGUCGACUCACAGGAUCGAUCCAAUUCUUUAAACUUAAAUUUUUUUCAACAUAUCCAUCCAAAAAAUAUGAAUUACCUCCAAUA